UACGUAGGGUGCAAGCGUUUGUCCGGAAUUAUUGGGCGUAAAGAGCGUGUAGGCGGCCAGGUAGGUCUGCUGUGAAAACUCGAGGCUCAACCUCGAGACGUCGGCGGAAACCAUCUGGCUAGAGUCCGGAAGAGGAGAGUGGAAUUCCUGGUGUAGCGGUGAAAUGCGCAGAUAUCAGGAAGAACACCCGUGGCGAAGGCGGAUCUCUGGGCCUUACCUGACGCUGAGGCGCGAAAGCUAGGGGAGCGAACAGG
rnacentral:rRNA from 1 species